GACAGAGGGUGCAAACGUUGUUCGGAAUUACUGGGCGUAAAGCGCGUGUAGGCGGCUAAGUAAGUCGGGCGUGAAAUCCUACGGCUCAACCGUGGAAGUGCACUCGAAACUGCAUAGCUAGAGUCCUGGAGAGGAAGGUGGAAUGCUUGGUGUAGAGGUGAAAUUCGUAGAUAUCAAGCGGAACACCGGUGGCGAAGGCGGCCUUCUGGACAGUGACUGACGCUGAGACGCGAAAGCGUGGGGAGCAAACAGG
rnacentral:rRNA from 1 species